GGAGAGAUGAGCUAAUGGUGUGUAAGAAGGAGCCUCUACUGGGAACAUCCAUGAAUGAGCAGCACAGUCAGGGAAUACCACGGUGGAUGCAAAACAGUGCGGCAGAGUGGAGAGAACACGGACUUUGAACUCAAAAUGCCUUUGAUUAAAAUCUGGGCUAUUCUAUUUACUAGCUUGAAAGCCUCGAGCAGCUCCUGGAACCUCUCUGAGCCCGUGCUUUUUCUCUACAGAGGAGCACUUCACUGUGAGAAAAGGGAGCACAGGAGCAAAUCAAGUUAAGAACUACGGAUAGGAGAUGGCACCGGUUGGCAGUGAUAGACAACAAGACAUGAAGCCAGAGAUCACAGCAGAUUUGCUGCGGCAGAACCAAAAUAUAACUGCAGCCUCCUCACUCCUUAGCCCGGGUCAGUGCUGUCCUCUGGCAUACUUUCCCAGAAAAGGGAGACGAGACCACACCGAGCCCCCCCCCCCCCCCCCCCCGUGAGACAGUAUUUUCUAAGCGGCACCAGGAUAACAUCAAAGCUCUUCAUUGAGGGUCUGGCAAGCUCGCUCUCUUUGGUCCUCAAAAUAAAAGUGUAAGUCAAGUUCAACACUAUUAAUGGGUAAUCUGUACUCACUUUCUCUGCCCUUAUGAAAACAGGCUGAGUUUUAUUUGGGAAAGCCAGUGAUGGUGUGUUUGAUUUUAAACAUACCAAGUGUUUGAAAACUCUCUCAGAUAAUGAAACCUCAAACAGUGUGGGAGAUGUAUCAGCAAAGUCCAAGAGUACUCAUCUCACCCUGAGCAAAUAAAACAGAGAACAAAAUGCCCUUUGUCGCGCACUGCGUACCCUGUAUGUGUGCCGUGCCUGUGCUGCUGCCCUCACUUCCGUGCUCAGCUGAUCCCAAGGUGUUUAAUCCAUGUCACUUCAGCACAUCAACUUGAUUGCAGAAUUUAAAGACAAAGAAUACUGUGACAUGUGACAGACCCCUCUGGACCUCAGCUUGUUGUAUAAAGAUGGGUGGGAAAAGCCUCCUAGAUUUAACUCUCACGUAUCUUGAAACUAAAGCAAGGAGAUAACGAUACGUCUCAUGUCAAAGAUGGGCAUUUCCGUCAGAGAGAAGUGGAGCAGCCCCGAAAUCUUUAGUUCCAAGGUUCAGCAUGAUCCUGAGAGCCUCUUAAUAUUUGCUGCCCCCUGUAGUUUGCUCUUGUAAACAUUUUAUUUAAAAAGAAAAAUCAAGAGAGCUAUUUAAAACUGCAGUUGCUCUUCUUCUAAAUCCUAAGUACUUGUGGAAUUUUAUUCCCUCUCUCUUUUCAGUCCCAAUCCACAAAUCAGAGUGAUGACAUGGGGCGAGUCGGGGGAAGACUGCUAUGAGCAGUCGCGAUUUCACUUAAGAGAAUAAACUGAGGGA